rfam:Triticum aestivum genome assembly, contig: Triticum_aestivum_CS42_TGACv1_scaffold_148364_2BS
CUUGUACUCCCUCCGUCCGAAAAUACUUGUCAUUGAAAUGGAUGUAUCUAGAUGUAUUUUAGUUCUAGACACAUCCAUUUUGAUGACAAGUAAUUCCAGACGGAGGGAGUACUUG